GGAAGGAUGGCAGAGCGGUCGAAUGCGGCAGUCUUGAAAACUGUUGAGGGGGCAACUCCUCCUAGGGUUCGAAUCCCUAUCCUUCCG
rnacentral:tRNA from 1 species